UGGGGAAUAUUGCACAAUGGAGGAAACUCUGAUGCAGCGAUGCCGCGUGAGUGAAGAAGGUCUUCGGAUUGUAAAACUCUGUCUUCAGGGACGAUAAUGACGGUACUCAACAAGGAAGUGACGGCUAACUACGUGCCAGCAGCCGCGGUAAAACGUAGGUCACAAGCGUUGUCCGGAAUUACUGGGUGUAAAGGGAGCGCAGGCGGGAAGGCAAGUUGGAAGUGAAAUCCAUGGGCUCAACCCAUGAACUGCUUUCAAAACUGUUUUUCUUGAGUAGUGCAGAGGUAGGCGGAAUUCCCGGUGUAGCGGUGGAAUGCGUAGAUAUCGGGAGGAACACCAGUGGCGAAGGCGGCCUACUGGG
rnacentral:rRNA from 1 species